rnacentral:tRNA from 1 species
GUCUUCGUUGUGUAGUCGUCAACGCGCUGGGCGCGUAUUUCAGAGGUCCGCGGUUCGAGUCCCGGCGAAGACU